UACGUAGGGUGCAAGCGUUGUCCGGAAUUAUUGGGCGUAAAGAGCUCGUAGGCGGCUUGUCGCGUCGGCUGUGAAAACCUGGGGCUCAACCCCGGGCCUGCAGCCGAUACGGGCAAGCGUAGAAUUCGGUAGGGGGAGACUGGAAUUCCUGGUGUAGCGGUGAAAUGCGCAGACUAUCAGGAGGAACACCGGUGGCGAAGGCGGGUCUCUGGGCCGAAAUUGACGCUGAGGAGCGAAAGCGUGGGGAGCAAACAGG
rnacentral:rRNA from 1 species